UUCUCUCCAUACGGUGCCUAACACAAAUGUGGCUGUAACUGACUGAGGUUGCCCACACAGCAGAUGCAAGGAGUGACUGUGUGCGUGCAUCUCUCUCCCUUCUCCUUCAAAUCUGUUCCAUCCUUCUCUCCUUCUUGCUCAUGCACUGAAGCCACCUACCUGCCUGUCCUGACAUGAAAUGAAACGGCUUUUGCCGUUGCUGUUUGCUAGGAAGAGAGGCAGUCGUCCAAUGCUCUCAGCAAUACGAGCAUGACACCACAUUGCCACGUGUCUCUCUGCUUUUGUUUUCCAGUCUUUCUCUCCACGAAGUGUUUGCAUUUCUUCUGAGGCUCAGAACUGAAAUCCUGUGGCUGUGCAUUUCCUCCCACACUCCCAAUCAAAGGCAGGGCACACGCUCACGGUGCUGCUGCCCGUUGCUGAACGGUGAUACCUACUGGCUCUUCAGCGGAGAAAAAUUACACACAGGAAAAACAUUGCUGGAGAUUUCUCCUCCCACCGGGGGCCCCACUCACACUUCUCUCAGUCUCAACAGCAGCAGAGCAGGAGCAGCAGACAUGCUGCUGCUGGCAGCUCUGAUGGUUGCAACUGCCUGGUCCUAUGAAUUUGCAUGGAAAGUUCCCAUUCAGAGCCCUCUAUCCAUCACCAAGUCACAAGGCAGUAUACGUCUGCAGUGUCGUUUUGGAGACUUGUUUGAACAUUUUGAUAGCACCGUCAUACACUGGUAUCAACAAAAGGAGAAUAAACCUCCAGAGAGGCUACUCUUCUUUGCAGAAGGGAAAACUACAGUUGAAAGUGGCUUUCAAGGGAACAAGUACAUGGCUGAUGAAGUUUCUAGUCAGAAACUGUCCAUUCUUACAAUAAACAAUGUAAGUGCAGAUGAUGCUGCUACUUACUACUGUGCCUACUGGGACCCACACCGUGAGAGAUGCUCAGAGACCAUCAAGCCACAAAACUCCUUCAACCACUCAACUUCAACUUCAGUCUGAACCACAGGACUGUUACUGCCUCAUUCCCCAGCCUUCUCACUCCAUCCGCUAUCAGCUGUGACCAGAGCAAACACUGCACAGAUGCAGAGAAUCACAAAUAGUAAAGGGCUGGAAGGGACCUCUGCAGAUCAUCCAGUCCAUCCUCCCUGCUAAGGCAGAUUCCUUAGAGCAGGUGACACAGGAAAGUGUCCAAGAAGGUCCUGCAUGUCACUAGAGGGCAUUCCUCACCCUCUCUGCGCAGCCAGUUCCUUUGCUUUGUCAUCCUCAAUGAAAAGAAGGUUUCUCUCAAGUUGAGAUGGAACCACCUGUGUUUAGUUUUGUAACACAUCUUUCCCCUUGUCCUGUUGCUGGGCAACACCCAAAGGAGCCUGGCCCAUCCAUUGGACUCGGCCCUUCAGAUCUUUACAAGCGUUGAUAAGAUCCCUUCUCAGUCUCCCCCAGGCAGAACAGUCGCAGGUCUUUCAGCCUUUCCUCAUAAGGCAGAGGCUCCAUUCCCCUAUCACCUCUGUGGCCCACCGCUGGAUUCUCUAGAAGUUCCCUGCUUUUCUGGAACCGAGAAGCCCAGAAGAGAAGGCAGCACUCCAGACGUGGGGUCACCAGGGCAGAGCAGAAAGCGAGGAUCACCUCCCUCAACCUGCUGGCCACGCUCUUUUCAACCAACCCCAGGAUCCCAUUGGUCUUCUGGGCCACAGGGCCACACUUGGCCAUGCGGGCUCAUGGUCAACCUGCUGUCCUGCAGGACCCCGGGCUCCUUCUCCAUGGAGCUCCUUUCCAGCAUGUCAAUCACAAACCCAUCCUGAUGCAUGUGGUUGGUGCCCGCUCCUUUUGAAGCGGAUGCCACUAUCAGCACUCCAGUCUUCAAACACACAUCCCCCCUUUCUAAGGGAAAACUCUUCACCGCCUUAAGGAUUAACACAUCCCCAAAGGAGUCAGCUCCUCCUCCCAUGCAACACAGCUCCUUGUACUGGCGACAAUUUCCUGUUCUCAGUCUCAACAGCAGCCGAGAAGGACAAGCAACCAUGCUGCUGCUGGCAGCCCUUGUGGCCACAACCACUUGGUCUUGUUCGUACUGUUCCUUAAGCUUACUUUUCCUCACAGGAACCCGUGGAUGAGCUAAAAGGUAUUAUCCCAAAUUCACAACCAACACUAAACAACAUAUUUUCUCCUCUCUUUUUUUUUUCCAUUUU